rnacentral:rRNA from 1 species
GAUGAACGCUGGCGGCGUGCCUAAUACAUGCAAGUCGAGCGAACAGACGAGGAGCUUGCUCCUCUGACGUUAGCGGCGGACGGGUGAGUAACACGUGGAUAACCUACCUAUAAGACUGGGAUAACUUCGGGAAACCGGAGCUAAUACCGGAUAAUAUAUUGAACCGCAUGGUUCAAUAGUGAAAGACGGUUUUGCUGUCACUUAUAGAUGGAUCCGCGCCGCAUUAGCUAGUUGGUAAGGUAACGGCUUACCAAGGCAACGAUGCGUAGCCGACCUGAGAGGGUGAUAGGCCACACUGGAACUGGGACACGGUCCAGACGCCUACGGGAGGCAGCAGUAGGGAAUCUUCCGCAAUGGGCGAAAGCCUGACGGAGCAACGCCGCGUGAGUGAUGAAGGUCUUCGGAUCGUAAAACUCUGUUAUUAGGGAAGAACAAAUGUGUAAGUAACUAUGCACGUCUUGACGGUACCUGAUCAGAAAGCCACGGCUAACUACGUG